rnacentral:lncRNA from 1 species
GCAAGGUUAUAUGAAGAGCUUUUAUUGAAGCACCAUGUUAACUAAUAGCUCCUGGUAUUUUCUGCUUCCCUUCGUAGGGAAUUUAGUUAUUUUAUUUUAUUUUAUUAUUUAGCUAAUUUAGCUAUUUUAAAAUAGCUAAAUUUUAGCUACUUUUUUUUCAAUUGACAAAGAAGGAUGUCUAAUCAAAGACUACAGCUGAUUUUUUCUCUGUUGUUUAUCUGCUUCUUCGGGGAGAGUUUCUGCAUUUGUGAUGGAACUGUCUGGACAAAGGUUGGAUGGGAGAUUCUUCCAGAAGAAGUACAUUAUUGGAAAGUUAAGCAUUCUCCAUCUCACUGCCUGCCUUAUCUUCUGGAUAAACUAUGCUGCGACUUUGCUAACAUGGAUAUAUUUCAGGGUUGUUUAUAUCUCAUUUAUAAUUUAUUACAAGCUGUCUUCUUCAUCUUAUUUGUUUUGUCUGUGCAUUACCUGUGGAAGAAAUGGAAGAAACACCAAAAAAAGCUGAAAAAGCAAGCCUCCUUAGAAAAACCUGGUAAUGAUCUAGAAAGCCCAUUGAUCAACAACAUUGACCAAACACUCCACAGAGUGGCAACCACAGCAUCAGUGAUAUACAAGAUCUGGGAGCACAGGUCUCACCAUCCUUCCUCUAAGAAAAUUAAGCACUGCAAAUUAAAGAAGAAGAGUAAAGAAGAAGGAGCCAGAAGAUACUAAAUAUAUGCAUAUGCAAAUGUAGCUUAGUCAAAUAUAGAUAUCACAAAAGAAAUCUAUCAUCUAAGGAUAAAAAUUGUUCUUUGGAAACCUUUAUAAACUUUUUGCCACAAUCUUUACUAAAAUUUUCCAAAGAAGCCUGGGUUGAAAUGUUACUUCCCAUUCAAUUAAAAAAGAACCCGGACUUACUAAAGUACUAGAGAAGAAAUUGUAUACUGUAGAAAAUGAAAUAGAGGUUCCUCUUCAAAGGGACAUUCCUCCCAGUCUAAUUCAGAAUAGACAGUAACCUCUCUUAGAAGCAAAAUUUACUCAAAGACCUGUGCUAAUAUUCUUAAAUUUUGC